rnacentral:rRNA from 1 species
AUGGAGCUUCGCCGGAGCCGUCGGCGCUGCGGUGGAGCUCCGGCAGGGCUGCAAUGGAGCUCGACCGGAGUUGCAAUGGAGCUUCGCCGGAGCCGUCGGCGCUGCCUUGGACCAUGCGGGGCUGCAAUGGAGCUCCGUCGGAGUUGCAAUAGAGCUUCGCCGGAGCCGUCGGCGCUGCCUUGGACCACGCGCGGGCUGCAGUGGAGCUCCGCCGGAGUUGCAAUGGAGUUUUGCCGGAGCCGUCAGCGCUGGGUGGAGCUCAGGCAGGGUUGCAAUGCAGCUUCGCCGGAGCCGUCAGAGCUGCGUUGGAGCUUCGCUGGGGCUGCAUUGGAGCUUGGCCGGAGUUGCAAUGGAGCUUCGCCGGCGCGUCGGUGCUGCGUCGGAGCUCUGCUGGGGCCGCAAUGGAGCUCGCAGGAAUCAAUCCGUGGUGCUGCGUUGGAGCUGCGCUGGGACUGCAAGUCUGCAAUGGUGCUGCGUUGA